GCCUUGGAAACGAGGUCUAAUACUGGAUAUGAGAUGCCCCUGCAUGGGGAGUGUCUGGAAAGAUUUAUCGGUCUGGGAUGGACUCGCGGCCUAUCAGCUUGUUGGUGGGGUAAUGGCCUACCAAGGCGACGACGGGUAGCCGGCCUGAGAGGGCGACCGGCCACACUGGGACUGAGACACGGCCCAGACUCCUACGGGAGGCAGCAGUGGGGAAUAUUGCACAAUGGGCGCAAGCCUGAUGCAGCGACGCCGCGUGAGGGAUGAAGGCCUUCGGGUUGUAAACCUCUUUCAGCAGGGAAGAAGCGCAAGUGACGGUACCUGCAGAAGAAGCGCCGGCUAACUACGUGCCAGCAGCCGCGGUAAUACGUAGGGCGCAAGCGUUGUCCGGAAUUAUUGGGCGUAAAGAGCUCGUAGGCGGUUUGUCGCGUCUGGUGUGAAAACUCAAGGCUCAACCUUGAGCUUGCAUCGGGUACGGGCAGACUAGAGUGCGGUAGGGGUGACUGGAAUUCCUGGUGUAGCGGUGGAAUGCGCAGAUAUCAGGAGGAACACCGAUGGCGAAGGCAGGUCACUGGGCCGCAACUGACGCUGAGGAGCGAAAGCAUGGGGAGCGAACAGGAUUAGAUACCCUGGUAGUCCAUGCCGUAAACGUUGGGCACUAGGUGUGGGGCUCAUUCCACGAGUUCCGUGCCGCAGCAAACGCAUUAAGUGCCCCGCCUGGGGAGUACGGCCGCAAGNCUANAACUCAAAGGAAUUGACGGGGGCCCGCACAAGCGGCGGAGCAUGCGGAUUAAUUCGAUGCAACGCGAAGAACCUUACCAAGGCUUGACAUACACCGGAANCUUCCAGAGAUGGUUGCCCNGCAAGGUCGNUGUACAGGUGGUGCAUGGUUGUCGUCAGCUCGUGUCGUGAGAUGUUGGGUUAAGUCCCGCAACGAGCGCAACCCUCGUCUUAUGUUGCCAGCACGUCAUGGUGGGGACUCAUAAGAGACUGCCGGGGUCAACUCGGAGGAAGGUGGGGAUGACGUCAAAUCAUCAUGCCCCUUAUGUCUUGGGCUUCACGCAUGCUACAAUGGCCGGUACAAAGGGCUGCGAUACCGCGAGGUGGAGCGAAUCCCAAAAAGCCGGUCUCAGUUCGGAUUGGGGUCUGCAACUCGACCCCAUGAAGUCGGAGUC
rnacentral:rRNA from 1 species